UCAUAACUUCACAGGACCAGUUUUUCGGAGUGCUUUGGGUGUGGUUCUUGCCCAGUGGUUUGUCUUUCCACCUUUACUCCUUAAAUUAGCUUAAAAGUUGACUUAACUUACUGGCAACAAAUACUAACAAUAUUAACAACAGCCAAAGCCAACUCUUAGUGCUUAUUAUAUGCCAGGCAAAUUUCAAAAUAUAUUUAUGUAUGAAGUAUGCUCUGUGUAUAUUAACUCAUUUAAUUUUUACAACUUAUCCUGCACGUGCUGGUAUUAUCCCCAGUUUGCAGAUGUUGAAACUGAGUUACAGAGAGGCUAGGUUACUUGCUCAAGGUCUACACGACUUUAAAUGGGGGCCCUGAAAUUCAAACGUGGUCAGCUGACCUAGUUCUUCAGAGUCCUGCCUGACACGUGGACUGUUUUCUAACCUAAUUUUUUCAUAUAGCAAAAGUUCAUGAGCACUUCCAUGUUACUAAAUAUUCAUCUAAAUAUUUAAAGUAGCUACAUAGUGUUAAGUUGUAAGGAUGAUUCCUGAUUGGUUUAACCAACUUGCUGUUGUGGGACAUUAAGAAUAUCUUGGUGGCUAAACUUUUUUUUUUUUUCUAAUAUCCAUGACUCUCUUUGGGAUAAAGUCCUAGAAUGCUUAGUCAAAGGGUAUUCUGAUUGUCUUCCAGCAAGAUUAUUCCAGUGUAUGCACACAGCAGUGUAUGAGAGCAUCCUGUUUCCCUGAGUCCUUAAUAGCAUUGAAUAUUAUCGUUAAAAUUUUUUUUCUUUGUGGUAUUGAAAAUGAUAUAUAGUUUUCAUUGAAGCCUAAAAUUCUUUGGACAUUAAAAAUAAAUUUAUUGGGGGAGCCUGGAUGACUCAGUUGGUUAAGCGUCUGCCUUCGGCUCAGGUCAUGAUCCCAGGUACCUGCUUGGCGGGAAGCCUGCUUCUCCCUCUGCCUGCCACUCUCCCUGCUUGUGGUAUCUCUCUCUCUUUCUCUCUCGCUCUGACAAAUAAAUAAAAUCUUUUUUUUUUAAGAUUUUUUUUAUUUAUUUAUUUGAGACAGAGAAUGAGAGCGAGAGAGCACAUGAGAGGGGGGAGGGUCAGAGGCAGAAGCAGGCUCCCUGCCGAGCAGGGAGCCUGAUGCGGGACUCGAUCCCGGGACUCCAGGAUCAUGACCUGAGCCGAAGGCAGUCACUUAACCAACUGAGCCACCCAGGCGCCCAAUAAAAUCUUUUUUUUAAAAAAUAAAUACAUUUAUUGAUCAUUUGUCAAAAGUUCUUUUGUGAAUUGACUGCUCCAUCACCUAUGGGAUAAAGUUGAAACCUUAGAAGGCGAUUCAAGGCUCUUCCUACUCUGACCCCAACUUCUUUUCUAACUAAUUCUCCUGCAAGUCCUAAACAUUCACCCUACACAUCCAUGGGGAUUAUUUUGUUUUGUAUAAGUUGGAACUAUGUGAAUGUGCUAUUUUUAUAGGCCACAAGUGGUUGACUAUUGACAUUUUCUUAUGGUUAAACCUUAUAAGUCUCCAAAAUAUUUGCUUUCCCACUAGAAUGUUUUCACAAAUGUCUUGUCUCUCCCUGCUUGGUGAAAUCCUUCCCACUCCUUAUAAAGCCAGGUUCACUGGUCAUGUUCCCUACGCCCCUAUUCCUUUGUCCUCCCUCUCCUCUUUCCCUUCCUUCCCCAGUUUAGGUGUAAAUCACUCCUUUUCACCAUUUCCACUCUCCUUCUUUCCUAUUGUAAUAGAAUGAAUGGAUUGCAGCUGGAUAGUGUGUUUGCAUCUGCCUGGCAGAGGCCAAGCCCUGUGUUGCCUUUUCCCAGCAGAGACUCUCUUAUUUAUUUUUGGCAGUUAACAAGGUUUCCGGCUCACAGCAGUUGCACAACAAAAUGUAUGUUGAAGUGAAGAACUAGUAACUUUAGGGCCCAGGAAGUGCCUUAUUAACCAAAUAAUAAUUGCAGUUUCCUUCCAUGUUAAAUAAGGAAGAGCAUGUGUAAUAUCUUCUAAUUUGGUUGGUUGGUAUUUUGUUUGGCAAUGGCUCUCCUUAUUUUGAAUCCUCCAUCCUUCUAUUUCAUUUUUUCCUGUAUUUUCAGAUGUGGUCAUUAUAUUGCAAUUCGAAGAAAUUAAUUGACUCCAUGGCACAAUUCUCAAGGGUGAAAGAACACAAUUCUCUAACUGGCUAAAUAGUAAUCAGUGUACUUUCCAAGGAAUAAAUGUAUUUUUUCCCUUUUAACUAUAUUCACCUUUUUUCUUAGGUACACUAUAGGAAUUUUUAGUGACUUCUAGGAAACACUAAUGCUAUGGAUAGAGUUAUAAUAUUUCAACAAGCUUCAGGAAACAUUAAAAGUAAAUUUUUUUAAUCGAAGUAUAGUUGACAUACAAUAAUAUGUUAGUUUCAGGUGUACAAAAAGUAAAAAUAUUUUUUAAAAACAUUAAGAACACUUAAACUGAAUCUCAUUAAGAUAAAGCCUUCUCUUUUUAAAAGACAUACAUUGCAUGAUCCAUUUAAAUUGUACUUAACAGGAAUAAAGUCAUGUAAUCAUAGAACUUUAAAAGUAGAGGAGAUCCCCAAGGUUUUUAGUAUGUGGGAAGAUACCAAGUAGGAAUGGAGGAGAGAAGAUAAUAGUCUGAGUUUAGCAAUGUCCCCAUAUUCCCCUCUCCAUUGAAUUGUCAAGUGAAGUCCCAACCUUUGCUCAUCUUCUUUCACCUACAUAUCGUGUCCUAGCCAUGCCUCAAACAAGUUCAAUCAGAAGCAAUCUCAAUCCAGGCCUCCUUUGUGUUUAUAGUCAGAAGGGACUGGGUCCCCUGGGUCCCCUAUGGCCUUUUCUUCCUGCUUGCUCAUUAGGCAUGUGUGUGCUCAGAAUUUUGGCUGUUCUUUUUAAAGUAGGCUCCAUGCCCAGCAUGAAGCCCAACAUGGAGCCUAACGUGGGGCUUGAACUCACAACCCUGAGGUCUACACCUGAGUGCAGAUCAAGAGUCAGACAUUUAACGGGCUGAGCCACCCAGGCACCCAAGAAUUUUGCUUUUUGUAGGUGGGCUUUGCUAACCAAGAAACUGGUUCAGUUUCUAGAUCCAAGGAUCCGGAAGAUCUGUUUGAGAUUUUUAAAUAGGAGGUGGGAUGUCAUAAUGACAAAGACAGAUAAUAACAACUAACUGGCAAGAAUGUGGAGAAAUUGGAACCCUCAUACACUGCUGAUGGGAAUGGAAAAUGGUGCAGCCGCUUUAGAAAACAGUCUGGUAAUUCUUCAAAUAGUUAAACACAGAGUUACCAUAUGAUCCAGCAACUCCACUUAUAGGUACACCCAAGAGAAAUGAAAACAUUUGUCCACACAGGAGCUUGCACAUGAAUGUUCAUGCAGCAUUAUUCAUAACAGCCAAAGAAUAGAAACAACCUAAAUGUCCAUUAGCUGAUGAAUGGAUAAGUAAAAUGUGGUAAAUCCACUAAAUGUACUAUUAUUCAACAAUUAAAAGGAAUGAAGUACCGAUAUAUCCAUGACAUAACAUGAAUGAAUGUUGAAAACAUGCUAAGUGAAAGAAACCAGUCAUAAAGGACCACAUAUUUAUGAUUCUCUUUAUAUGAGAUUUCCAAAUAGGCAAAUCCAUAGUGACAGAAAGUAGAUUAGUGGUUGCCCAGAGUGAUGGCAUGGGGUGGGGCUGUGGGGGUCUUCUCUUUGGGGUAAUGAAAGUGUUCUAAAAUUGAUUGUGGUAAUGGAUGUACAAGUCUGUGAACAUACUAAAGGCCAUUGGAUUAUAUACUUUAAACGGGUAAAUUAUACAGUAUGUGAAUGUUAUGUCAAUAAAGCUGUAAAAAAAGAAAAAAGGGGUGUGUAUGUGUGCUUCAUUUAGUCUCCUUGUACUUCUCUGGCUAGCUAGACAUUUCCAUGCCUAAUUUCAGACUCUCUUUGCCCUUUGAUUCUGCUUGAAGUCCAGCCAAUAGCUAAUGUAGCAGGGUGGAUAUUUAACUCACACUACAACUCAGACACAAAGAGAAAAUAUAAGUUCUUUAUUUAGUCUAUAAGCAGUCUGGUUUUUCUCCUGAAGCCCCAACCGAUGGAGAGUGGUGAAGACGAAUGGCAUGUUUAAUUCCCAGUCUCUGGGAGGCCACUAUGGUGGAAGGAAUGGCUGGGACUGAUUGACCUGCAGCUACUACACAUUAUGCUUGUUGCAACUAGAUGCGCUCAGAUGACCAAUGGGCAGGACAUUGUGAUGCGCCAUAUAUAUGCUUCUGAAUUCUUGUCUUGAUUCUUAAUGCUGUGCCUUGCUUUGGCCUUUGUUUUCUAUGUGAUUCAAGACUUGCUUUGAACCACUGCAGAUGUGUGCUUCAUAACUCACGAUGGCCCUCCUGACGUCAGACUACUGGCUCUGUCUGAAGCACCGGUUCCCAGGGAAUGCAUACGUCUCUGGGUUUGCUGUGUUCCUGUAGCUGGUCACAAAUGCUCAUUGUUUCAGUCUCCUAGUCAUGGCUUCUAAUCCCGUCAAUAUGAUCAGUAGCUGGCUCAGCUGAUAAAAGGAUUGUUUUGUGGUUUCCUGAAGCAUUAGAGCUUAAUAGAAUAUAUACACUUACUCCCUUCUUAGGAAACUACAUUUGAAAGCACUCAAAAAUGUUUUAAAUAAAAUUUGCCGUGUUUGUAUAAUUUUGUAUUGAUGAUGCUCUGAGUACUUUACUUUUUUCUUUAACUUUUUUUUUUAAGAUUUUUAUUUAUUUAUUUGACAGAGAGAGAGACAGCAAGAGAGGGAACACAAGCAGGGGGAGUGGGAGAGGGAGAAGCAGGCUUCCCGCGGAGCAGGGAGCCCGAUGCGGGGCUCGAUCCCAGGACCCUGGGAUCAUGACCUGAGCCGAAGGCAGAUGCCUAACGACUGAGCCACCCAGGUGCCCCUUUUUCUUUAACUUUUUAAAAAAUAUAUUUAUUUAUUUUUGAGAGAGAGCACAAGCAGGGGGAGCGGCAGGCAGAGGGAGAAGCAGGCUUCCCGCUGAGCAGGGAGCCCGAUGCGGGACUCCAUCCCAGGACCCUGGGGUCAUGACCUGAGCUGAAGGUGACGCUCAACCAACUGAGCCACCCAGGCGCCCGUACUUACUUUACUUUUUAAAGCUCUGUUUUUUUGGUUUCUUUGGAAAGAGAACUGCCUGACUAUUGGUGCUUUGAAUGGAGGGAGGUAAAAAGUAGUAUUAUAUUAGUUGGCCCAGGAGGAAGAUGAAGUGUGAUGUAUAUUAGCUUUUCAAGUUGUUUAAUCUUGCUCAAACCAAGUCAGUGAUGUGACAGUUCAGAAAGGAAUUCAAAGAGUACUUGCUGCUUUUAGCAAUUGAUUCUGAAGAGUUGUGACUUCUAUAAACACCAAAAAUACUUCAAAAUUGAUAUACAAUCAGGACUGAAUAGGACCUUAAUAUUGAUAUGGGUCCUACAGUCUGAGUGCCAGUGCCUGGGAAGUCUUUUGUUUGUUUUUAACAAAUAAUACAGUAUUUGGGGGCAAAACCCCAAAUUUAAGAAUAUUUAACAUUAUGUGAAUGCCUAUUGAGUUUACAAAGAGAUAAACUUGAUUAAACUAUUUGACUACUAAAUGAAUAGGGAUUUGAGUAUAUUUUAUAGAAUUUUUUAUUCAAUAGAAACUGUCAAUCUUUGUGUCUAUUAUAUACACACAUAAGGGUAAAUUAAAGUUCAGAGGAAUAUGUAUGUAAAUAAAUAGAAAUAAAUGUGUACAUAUAAGUAAAUCAUAAAUAUAUGUAUAUAUUCUUAGGUAUGCUGUGCUAAGGUUCAGCUGGAUGUAAUUUUCGCAUUAUCAUCUAAAUGAAAAUAUCUGUUAAUUCAUAAGUUCAUAAAUUAUACCUAUGAACUCAGAAGUGAAAAGUUGAUAAUGACAAUUUAAGACAAAUAUAUUCUUUUGGGUAUUUAUUUACUUACUCAAACAUUCAAAAGUUCUUACAAGGUAUUAAAAAUGCCUGAGACAUUUGUUUUUGUUUUGUUUGUUUGUUUUAUUUGACAGAGAGACAGUGAGAGAGGGAACACAAGCAGGGGGAGUGGGAGAGGGAGAAGCAGGCUUCCCACGGAGCAGGGAGCCCAAUGUGGGGCUCGAUCCCAGGACCCUGGGAUCAUGACCUGAGCCGAAGACAGACGCUUACCGACUGAGCCACCCAGGCGCCCCAUGCCUGAGACAUUUGUAAGGACUUUAAAGAAGCUGUAGAAGAAAUACUAAUAAAGCAUGAGGUGAAAUUAUAUAGAUUGCUAGACCUCAGUAGAUGCAACGAUGAAAGACAAAGAACUGUCAAGAAGGAGAGGGAAACUGGAUGCUUGGGUGACUCAGUCGAUUGAGUGUCUGCCUUGCGCUCAGGUCAUGAUCCUGGGGUCCUGGAAUCGAGUCCCCCAUCCAGCUCCCUGCUCAGCGGGGAGUCUGCUUCUCCCUCUGCCUCUGCCCCUCCCCCUGCUUGUGUGCACCCUCUCCCUCUCUCUCUCAAACGAAUAAGUAAAAUUUUGAAAAAAAAAAAAAAAGGAGAGGGAAACUGGAAAUGAGAAGAAGAGUGAAGCAUUGAAGGACUGAUCUAACUGAAGCCCUGGACGAAGCACUAAAAAUCACUGUGGAAAGAGUGGACCACGUUUGCACAAUUUAAACACUGCGCUGCAAUGAAUAUAGACGAAUUUCCAGCCCCCUUUCCUGAUGGAUACCAUGGACUCACUAUGCCAAGGAUCCUGUUCUCAGAGCAGUAAGGGAAGAACACAUUUUCCAAAAUAUCGAAUUACCCAGUUACACCUAUUCACUUUUGCUAGAAGUCUACACUGAAAUUUGAUGAGCAUGAUGAAGAGGACGACUGCCUACUCCUACGAUGCACCACAGAAAGAAAUAGUACCGGGAAACAAAAACAGAAGUAGUCAAGAAUAGAGAAUGUCUAAUGCCGGCUCUGUUUCUAUUCCAGCAUCCUCCGUGAAGUGCAUAGUUUCCCUUGAUUAUAAAAUAGAGAUAAAUUCUAAAUGUGACAUUACAUAAAAAGGCAUUUAUUUUUACCCCCUCCUCUGCAUGGGGACAGUUAUCUGUCUUCAUCUCAAUGUGAGUUAGAAUAUAUAAUGCCCAAAUAAAAAAGAUCUCAAUUUUCAUUCAUUUAGCAAUAGUCUGUUUCCUUGGGAGAGAGUUGCCUAGUAAACAAAAAAUGUGUGGGAUGUUAGGCUUUUAUAACCACGUAAAAGAAAUGACUCUAAAAGAUGCUACAUUAAUAUGGCUGUAAAUUGGAAGUUGUCAUUUUUGUGAAUGGAGAAUUUAUGUAGAAAGAGACAUGAUUCUUUCCUUCACUUAAUCCAUUCUCCACAUGUCUGACCUUUUGAAUAAUCGUUUUAAAAAUACAAAUUGCCUCAUUCCCCUCUUGUGGGGCUUCUGAAUGCCUUUAGAGUAACCUUCAGUUGCUGCCGAGGCUCUAACGGGAUCUGGCCCUGCGUUCUUCCUCGGUGUCCUCUCAAGGCUUUUUGCCCUUGCUCAUCUUGGCUUUCUCUGUCCAUGUCUUAAAGGAACCAAAUUCUUUCAUACCCCAGAGCUUUGGGAUGUGCCUUUUGCCAGGAAUGUCCUUUCCCUGACCCUUCACAUAGUUAAUUCUCAUUUAUUCUUAAUUGCUCAGUGAAAGGUCUCUUCCUCAGGAAAGCCUACAUAUUCAAAUAUGUAUUAGGAGUCUGCUGACCCUUUCCCUUCAUAGAGAUUAUCAGUUUGUAGUUUGCUUCUUAUUUUAUUGUGUAAAUUAGGUAAUAAACCCUGUCACAUCAGA